AAUAGAUACCCCGGUAGUCCACGCCGUAAACGUUGGAUACUAGGUGUGGCGCCCCGAUCAACGGAUGCCGUGCCGAAGCUAACGCAUUAAGUAUCCCGCCUGGGGAGUACGGCCGCAAGGCUAAAACUCAAAGGAAUUGACGGGUCCCCGCACAAGCGGCGGAGCAUGCGGCUUAAUUCGAUGCAACCCGAAGAACCUUACCUGGGUUUGAAAUCAUGGGAAAAGCUGUAGAAAUACAGUGUCCGUAAGGGCCCAUGACAGGUGGUGCAUGGCUGUCGUCAGCUCGUGUCGUGAGAUGUUGGGUUAAGUCCCGCAACGAGCGCAACCCUUGUCCUAUGUUGCCAGCGGUUCGGCCGGGGACUCAUAGGAGACUGCCGGGGAUAACUCGGAGGAAGGUGAGGACGACGUCAAGUCAUCAUGCCCCUUAUAUCCAGGGCUGCUCGCAUGCUACAAUGGUCGGUACAACGGGCAGCGACCCCGCGAGGGUGAGCGAAUCCCACAAAGCCGGCCUCAGUUCGGAUUGGAGU
rnacentral:rRNA from 1 species